GCGUCGGUAGUGCAAUGGUUCGAGCAUGUGUCCCCGAAUAGGGUGGAAUGUGGGUUCGAGUCCCAUCUGACGUA